CCACCCGUCCCCGUUACAGGCGAUCCAAUGAUGGGAGGUAUUGGGAGCAUUAUUCAUUAAAGUGAAACUCCAAAGUAAAUUCACAGUGAAUUUGAAAUUUAACACAUAACUGGACAGCAAAAUAUCGUACUCCGCUAUGUUUCAAGUUCAGCUACCGUAUAUACUUGUGUAUAAGUCGAGAAAUGUCCGUCGUAAACGUCAUUUUAAAAUGCAGCGU